AUUGAACGCUGGCGGCAUGCUUUACACAUGCAAGUCGAACGGCAGCACGGGCUUCGGCCUGGUGGCGAGUGGCGAACGGGUGAGUAAUGCAUCGGAACGUGCCCAUUUGUGGGGGAUAACUACGCGAAAGCGUGGCUAAUACCGCAUACGCCCUGAGGGGGAAAGCGGGGGAUUCUUCGGAACCUCGCGCAAUUGGAGCGGCCGAUGUCAGAUUAGCUUGUUGGUGAGGUAAAGGCUCACCAAGGCGACGAUCUGUAGCGGGUCUGAGAGGAUGAUCCGCCACACUGGGACUGAGACACGGCCCAGACUCCUACGGGAGGCAGCAGUGGGGAAUUUUGGACAAUGGGGGCAACCCUGAUCCAGCCAUGCCGCGUGAGUGAAGAAGGCCUCGGUUGGUAAGUACGUCUUCUACGUCCGGAACGGAAAACGGAACGAACUACUCUAACUACUAAGGUAGGUGGUAGUGACGGUACCGGACCGAACGAACGACGAACCGGCGAACCUAACGUACGUCCACG
rnacentral:rRNA from 1 species